AUUGAAGUUGUUAGAUCGGCC
rnacentral:misc_RNA from 1 species